rnacentral:hammerhead_ribozyme from 1 species
ACGAGUCCCAGAUAGGACGAAACGCGCGUC